GCAUUGGUGGUUCAGUGGUAGAAUUCUCGCCUGCCAUGCGGGAGACCCGGAUUCGAUUCCCGGCCAAUGCA
rnacentral:tRNA from 2 species